rnacentral:rRNA from 1 species
AAUCUUCCACAAUGGUCGAAAGCCUGAUGGAGCAACGCCGCGUGAGUGAAGAAGGUUUUCGGAUCGUAAAACUCUGUUGUAAGGGAAGAACAUGUACAGUAGUAACUGGCUAUACAUUGACGGUACCGUAUUUGAAAGCAACGACUAACUACGUGCCAGCAGCCGCGGUAAUACGUAGGUGGCAAGCGUUGUCCGGAAUUAUUGGGCGGAAAGCGCGCGCAGGCGGUCCUUUAAGUCUGAUGUGAAAGCCCACGGCUCAAUCGUGGAGGGUCAUUGGAAACUGGGGGACUUGAGUGCAGAAGAGGAAAGUGGAAUUCCAAGUGUAGCGGUGAAAUGCGUAGAGAUUUGGAGGAACACCAGUGGCGAAGGCGACUUUCUGGUCUGUAACUGACGCUGAGGCGCGAAAGCGUGGGGAGCAAACA